AGAGAAAAUAAUAACUUUGCAAGUUUUAAAAGCCAACAAGCUUUCUCUA
rnacentral:tRNA from 1 species